rnacentral:lncRNA from 1 species
AAUAAUAACAACCCCCGUGGACAAUAGGUUUUGUGAUUCGUUUAUUCUGGCUUCCCCCAAGUAUUCAUGGAAGCGUAGCUCUAAAAGCUCAAGUCCUAAAGCCAACUCAUGGAUCCUGCAAAUACCUAACAGAGAAUAUUGUCCAUUCAGCAUUUGGAAGUGUUAAAACUGCUUGAAUUGGUUUCUUGGUGAGUCCUAGGAGAAGGUACAUCUCAACUGGCUUCUGAAAGAGUUCCUAGAAUGGAGUCAGGUGAGCUUUAAAACCUCUUAAAGUUCUCAUUGAUAUGAAUUUGCAACCCUUUAUAUUGUCGCUCGCAUGCUCAGACAGGUCAAACCUUUCUGGUCGCAUGCCAGUCAUUUUGGGACUAGAAGCUGGUUCCCAUUUUUCAUUUUAGUAAGUGCUUAAAGUGUGAAAAUGAAUAGCCUAUCUACGUGCAGGACUCACAAAAUUCGGAAAUGAAGGUAAUUUUGGCGCACUUUGCUUCUUAGUUUUUGAGAACUCGAGGAAUGGUAACUGGUGUUGAAUGUUACGUUGUAUUAAUCAAAAGUAUUGUUAAUUUUUAAAGGAAAAACUAAGCUGCUAAUAAUAGUAUCACCCAUCAGAAUCUAAGUACCUCUGAUGUAGAAUGAUGUUCUGCACAUAAGAGCGAAAAAUGUAGUUUGUUGCCCGUAAUUCUAAUGUUUACAGUAGAGGUAUAUCACCCUAUGAACUUGUUAUUCAGGAAAGUUACAAAUGAGGUAAAGCCACACUAUGUGCACAUGAACUAAAAAGGACUAAGCAUCAACUAUUGUCAUCCGCAGAUUUGCUUGUCACAAUGUUAUGUGCCAUCAUCUGUUUUUACUGAUAAUGCUGACAUGCACAAUAUUACCUUGGAUCUUUUUCUUAAAUAAAAAAUUUCAAUAUUACUUUUCAUUACCCUUCUGAAACUCUAGCCUUUUGAUGUGCUGAAUGAACUGGUCUACGUAACUAUCGUGGAGCCUGUGGUCACUAAAAAUCUUUUGUACUUGAGCAGCUCUUGACCUCAAUUUUUCUCCCUCGUCGGUAUUCAUCACUAAUCUUAUUGAGUUGGCUACAAUGUCCUUGCAGAAGGAACCGUCUUCAUUCCUUGGAACUUCGUGGCCUAUCUCCUUUUCCACUAACAGCUUUGCAUUAAGUCCUUGAUCAGCAACCAUCGG